GAGGGCAUAGCUCAGUGGUGGAGUACAUGUUUAGCAUGCACGAGGUCCUAGGUUCAAUCCCCAGUACCUCCA
rfam:Camelus ferus unplaced genomic scaffold scaffold731, whole genome shotgun sequence.